rnacentral:rRNA from 1 species
CAGAGGGUGCGAGCGUUAAUCGGAAUUACUGGGCGUAAAGCGCGCGUAGGCGGCUUUGCAAGUCGGGUGUGAAAUCCCCAGGCUUAACCUGGGAACUGCAUUCGAGACUGCAUUGCUAGAGUAUGGGAGAGGGAAGUGGAAUUUCCGGUGUAGCGGUGAAAUGCGUAGAGAUCGGAAGGAACAUCAGUGGCGAAAGCGACUUCCUGGACCAAUACUGACGCUCAUGUGCGAAAGCGUGGGGAGCAAACAGGAUUAGAUACCCUGGUAGUCCACGCCAUAAACGAUGACAACUGGAUGUCGGGAGGGUCUGCCUCUCGGUGUCGUAGCUAACGCGUUAAGUUGUCCGCCUGGGGAGUACGGCCGCAAGGUUG